rnacentral:rRNA from 1 species
UACAGAGGGGGCAAGCGUUGUUCGGAAUUACUGGGCGUAAAGGGCGCGUAGGCGGCCUGCUAAGUCGAACGUGAAAUCCCUGGGCUCAACCCAGGAACUGCGUCCGAUACUGGUUGGCUUGAAUCCGGGAGAGGGAUGCAGAAUUCCAGGUGUAGCGGUGAAAUGCGUAGAUAUCUGGAGGAAUACCGGUGGCGAAGGCGGCAUCCUGGACCGACAUUGACGCUGAGUGAGCGAAAGCUAGGGGAGCAAACGGG